rnacentral:rRNA from 1 species
UACGUAGGGGGCUAGCGUUGUCCGGAUUUAUUGGGCGUAAAGAGCGUGUAGGCGGCCAGGUAGGUCUGGUGUGAAAACUCGAGGCUUAACCUCGAGAUGUCAUCGGAAACCAUCUGGCUAGAGUCCGGAAGAGGAGAGUGGAAUUCCUGGUGUAGCGGUGAAAUGCGCAGAUAUCAGGAAGAACACCCGUGGCGAAGGCGGUUCUCUGGGACGGUACUGACGCUGAGACGCGAAAGCGUGGGGAGCGGACAGG